ensembl:lncRNA uncharacterized LOC114870041
UUCCUGUAGAGAUAGGUCACGCCGUCUCCGUCUCACAGCCUCGGCCCCGCUCUUUAACCCCAGUCGACAGUCUGCAGCUCCCGUCCUCCCUCCUCACCGCUGCUGGAUUCAGCCUGAUUGAUGAGUCCUAAUGAGUUUGGGGAGCUUAAACAUGGCUGGAACCUCUCUGGGAGCGCUAUUCUCUCUCCUGUUCCUUGCAUCUAUUACACAAGGGUACAAGGCUGUUGAUCUGUUUUGUUAUGAAUCCUGGCCAGCAGACGUGGGCCAGGAUGUCGCUCUGCCCUGUAGUAUAAAACAGAGAGAUGAUUUCAAGAUCGACAGCAUUCAAUGGACAAAGAAAAUGGGGAAAAAUGAGAAUAAGCUUGCAGUCUAUAGUCCAAUGCAUGGUCUUCAUCAGUUUAUGACUAAUGUGACGAUAGAGACUAUGGAGGACGAUGCAAACAGCUGGCUUGGCUUCCCCGUACGCCUCUCUGCUGUGACUGUAUGGGACAGUGGCGUCUAUAUCUGUGGUAUUACAACGUUUCCUCACGGCCCUCUGAGAUGUGAAACGGAGCUGAAAAUCAAAGACAUUGAUAAAAUCACAUGUGAUGUGAAUGGUACUGUUGAGGCCCUAAGUGGAGAGAAUGUGACCAUCCGCUGUGCAGCCAUUCCUAACAUUCAGUACAGAUGGACCAAGAACCAGAACUUGGUUUCAGACACGGAAUCACUGAAUCUCUGGCAAGUGACUGAAGCCGACACAGGGACUUACACGCUGACUGUCAACACAGGAAGCAAAUAUCUGCACGAGGAGUUUAAUAUCACUGUGCUGACAGUGAGCUUAACAACAGAUCUGUCAACGCGUUCGGUCGUUACCACACAGGCUCCCACCGACUCAACAGUCAGCAGCCUCGGCACCACUUUCCAGCCAUCGUCAACCACUGGACUACAAACCACUGGACCACAAACUACUGGACUGCAAACUACUGGACUGCAAACCACUGGGCUGCAAACCAAUAGCACCAGUGUAACGUGGACCAGGAGCUUGACCUCUGAUGUGACCGACGCUUCCACCAAAGUCAGCAAUGCUACAAAUCCACCUGACGAGCAUAAAACCCCGUUUACAAACAACACCCACUUCAUCACCGCCACCGCAAAUCCACCACUCAACUCUACAUUAAGGUCCAGCAGUGCAGCGUUCAACCGAACACACGCAACGACCAGCGGCGGGAUGCUAAAUGCGUCUGCGACUCAGCCAAACAAUGUUACCGCGAAUGCGCCAGAGGAGUCCAGCAUCACGGACAAUCCUGCAGCAGAACACACCACUAAACCAAGAGUAGAAGGUAAUGAGCGGAGUCAUCUUCUGGUGUUAAUAAUGGUUCCAUUGCUGCUAUUGAUCGCUGUGGUCGCCUUUCUCAUCAGGAGACGCGUAAUAAAACAGAGGUAAAACACACUAAUGGUACAGCAUCUUAAAAGACUUGCCAAGCAUUUACUGUACACGUCUCCUGCUCUCUAUGCAUAAAACCAUCUUUCUGGUCUAAUCAGUGUUUGUCCCUUUAGGAUGGACCUGCCGCCUUCAUUCAAACCCCCUCCUCCUCCAGUCAAGUAUGCAGCUGCAGUCUACCAACGGCGUGAGAUUUCUGCUACCUCUUACCCCGUUUCAAGGUGUAACUCGCUAGCAGAGUGCAUAUGAUAUAUAUAUUUAUAUUUAUAUAUGGUGGUUUGCAUGAUAUAUUGCACAGCAGUGUAUCCGGCCUCAAGUACAGAAGUACAAAAUGUGAAGCUCACAUAUAACUGUGGUCAGUUUCUGGUACAGUUACAGUAGCUAAAUGUAGGUUGUGUGUAUAUACUGUACGUGAGCUGUGGUACAUGCUAUUGUCUCUUAGAUGUUUCGAUUGUUUUGGCCGUAUUGGUCACAGUGAAAAUGACGUUGAUUGUAUUAAAUGGAAUAACGAAAAGUUUGUGUCACCUGAAAAUAAACUUUGUAAACUUUACGGUGAACUGUGAUUU